rnacentral:rRNA from 1 species
UAAUACCGGAUAAUACCUGCCUGGGCAUCUGGGUGGGUUAAAAGCUCCGGCGGUGAAGGAUGAGCCCGCGGCCUAUCAGCUUGUUGGUGAGGUAGUGGCUCACCAAGGCGACGACGGGUAGCCGGCCUGAGAGGGCGACCGGCCACACUGGGACUGAGACACGGCCCAGACUCCUACGGGAGGCAGCAGUGGGGAAUAUUGCACAAUGGGCGAAAGCCUGAUGCAGCGACGCCGCGUGAGGGAUGACGGCCUUCGGGUUGUAAACCUCUUUCAGCAGGGAAGAAGCGAGAGUGACGGUACCUGCAGAAGAAGCGCCGGCUAACUACGUGCCAGCAGCCGCGGUAAUACGUAGGGCGCAAGCGUUGUCCGGAAUUAUUGGGCGUAAAGAGCUCGUAGGCGGCUUGUCACGUCGGGUGUGAAAGCCCGGGGCUUAACCCCGGGUCUGCAUUCGAUACGGGCUAGCUAGAGUGUGGUAGGGGAGAUCGGAAUUCCUGGUGUAGCGGUGAAAUGCGCAGAUAUCAGGAGGAACACCGGUGGCGAAGGCGGAUCUCUGGGCCAUUACUGACGCUGAGGAGCGAAAGCGUGGGGAGCGAACAGGAUUAGAUACCCUGGUAGUCCACGCCGUAAACGGUGGGAACUAGGUGUUGGCGACAUUCCACGUCGUCGGUGCCGCAGCUAACGCAUUAAGUUCCCCGCCUGGGGAGUACGGCCGCAAGGCUAAAACUCAAAGGAAUUGACGGGGGGCCCGCACAAGCAGCGGAGCAUGUGGCUUAAUUCGACGCAACGCGAAGAACCUUAC